GAAGGCUCGCACUGGUUUUCUCCCCAUUUUGCUCGUCGGUCGCACGGCGCGACGGCGCGGACGAGCGGGGCGCACCGGCCCACGGGGAGACACGCAGCAGCGGGGAUCGUCUCCGGCUCGAGACCGCGGGCGUCGGGGCGUGCUUCUUCUCCGAUCUGCAAGCUCUCGCGGUGAACCUCCUCAGCGGCGAGGAUUUCUGGGCGAGGAGGAGAGAGCAAGUGCCCGCACUCGAUCCUCCUGAGCGGCGUCGAUUUCUGGGCGAGGGGGCAGCAGUGGGGCGGACUCUGUGCUCCCAUCACCGUGGCCACGAUGUGUCAAGGCGAAGGCAGCAGAGGCGGGUGCCUCGGCUUGUCUGGGGCGGAGUUGCUUGCUUCCUCUCGAUGUAUGGUGGCAACAUCUUGUGUGAGCUUGCUCGAGAUGAUGCCGAUUUUGAGUUUUUUGGUCAUUGAAUCUUUGCCAAUUGUGCCGUCCCACGAAAUUUGGAUGUGGGUAGGCGAAGACAGCAAGGGCAAGGGCAAGGCCAAGGCCAUCUCCAUCUGCUAUCCUUUGGCGGUGUGGUCUCGCUUCGUGGCAUGUGGUGAGUUGUUCCCAUCAAAAUGGUUACGCUAGUUUGUUGUACUUGCGGGCUGCGCUGAUUUUUGCUCGGCCUUUUUGUUCGGCGCAAAUGUGGCUACAUUUUCAGUUUCAGUGAGUGUUUGUCCUUAAUCUUUAGCCUUAAUUUUCAGUUUUCAGUCAUUUCUUUGUCCGAUUAAAAAGAAUAGUGAAUUCUUUGUCCUUAAUCUUCAGUCUUAUGUUUUAUCAGUCGUUUGUUUGUCCGAUUAAGGCGCAGGGAGCCGCAGCAGCAGGUGAGAUUGCUACUUCUGGCUACUAUUAUUGAACUAGAAUCACUCUAUUGUAUUGUGUUGGGCUGUGAUUGUGUUUUUGUGUAUCACCACUAUAUGGCUUGAGUGAUGCAAAUGUCAAUUCAGUCAAGACAAGAUUUUCAAAAUUUGUGAGCUGAAGCGUAGCUCAGUUUUGUGAUCAGUUUGGGAAUUACAAGUGCUUGUUUGUAGUAUUUUUUCCUUGAUGUAUGUAUCGGUGUAUAACUGGAUCGUGCCUUUUGUUUACACUCUGCUUCAAACAGGAAAGUAAAUUAUUCAGUUUGGUGGCCCAUCUGGUUUCUGCUUCUGUUGCCGCUCAUUUUCUGAAUAACAUUCUGUUGUAGUAGUCUUGCAGGUGAUGACCAACCACUGAAAAAAUUUAGUUGUUAUGUUAUGUUUGGACUGCCAACUUGCUAUAUUGUACGUCUUUAAAAUUAGCAGAAGCUUUGCCAUUUUCAGUUACUGUUGGGAUAGAGUUUCAUAUGUACAACCUUCCAUUGGACAGGGCCAUUAAGGCAGUAGUAUGGAUAGGAUUUUGAAUGGACUAUCAGCUCAUUGUUCUGAAGAUUAUAUGCCAUGUCAUUAUCAGUAUACAAUACAUCUCAUUUUAAGUCUCAGUUUAAAGUUGUAGUAGUCGAAGUUUAGAUUAGUCUAAGUUCCAAUAUUUGAUUUUUGUAAUGUGUUUUGUUCCCAAUAAACAUCUGUAUAACAGGUUUAAUUUUUUUGUUCCCAAUAAACCAUAGGUACUUGCCAUAGCAUAAUUUGCUGCUACUUUGUUCUAUUUUUUCUGAAUAAAUAUUUUUUCCAUUAUUACAAUUUUGUACCGUAAUAUGACUGGACUUUGCUGCUAUCUCCUUGAACUAAGGCUUGCCCUCUCUUAUCUGCUCCCCCAAAGCUUGCCAUCAUUAUCUUCUCCUGGAGCUUCUCCUCUCUUAUCUUAUUAUAAAGCUUGUGCUCUCUUAUCUCUUGCUAAUUCUCUGCUCAAAUCUCAUUUCAUUGCUGCUUGAUUCCUAGCUGCAAACAAAAAAUGUCCAUUUAAUCUUUACACUAGUAGGAGAUAAGAACUAACAUGAUGACACAUACUAUGAUGCUGGUUGUUCCAACUGUACAUGACUCUGUCUUCUUGCGGAUGAGUCAUUUGUUCUUUAUCCCUGAAAUUAAUAGAAGCAUUGACAUCUAGGUUUCUCUUUUGUCCCGCGUCUUGAGAUAUUUGCUGAGCCUGGGGUGUGUUGGGAGAGCAAGGUUCCAACACAAGGGCAAAUAGGAGAGUGAACUGCGAAGACCAACCUUGGUGCACAUCGAUCCAGGUUAGCAUUCAUGCUCUCAUCAACCUUUUUCUCCUUUAUCUCUCUUAAUCUGGGGUUUAAUCUUACUUUUGGGUGGGUUUUGAUUGACCGAUCAGUUGGAUUUGCUUCCUCUCUUCCCCAUUUCAGUCGUCAUGACUCAUGAGACAUUAACCACACAUUAAUCCCAUCUCGAGUUCUCAUAAAUUCAAGUUUAGAAACCCAUCUCCUCAUCUGACGUCCCACCUAAUGAGUCUGUGGCCUGUCCACGAUGCUAUACUCUGUCCCAUACUUACUUUUUUCAAAUUUUGUUGAAAUUGAUAUUCUGUGGUGUGUUAUGUGAGGUGGCUCUUUUUUCUCAAUCCAAUUGCACUGAUUUGUAGUUGUAGAUGCACUUAAACUAUAAACUUAUUUGCACUCCUUUUUGCAGUUAAUUGCAGUUACUCUUUUUCUUUGUGGUCAGUGCAAUUUUUCUAGUGACCUGCUGCAGUUGUGUAGUAUCCUAAUUAUGAUAAAGUUUUUCAGUCCAAUUGCACCUCUUACUGCUGUUAGUUGCAGUUGCAAUUUUUCUUUUAACCAGCUGCAAUUGCACCUCUUAAUGCAGUCAGUUGCAUUUGCAAAUUUUAAUUGCAUUCCAGUUUGUUGUUCCUUACCCGUUGAUUCUGAAUUUUGCUAACAAGAUAGCUACAAAGGUCAAUUGCAUGUAAUUUAAUUGGUGCAAUCUUGCAUAUAAUCAAAUGCAAUUGCAGUUGUUCCCUUUUUGAAUUGCAUUCCAGUGUUCCUUACCUGUAGAUUAUGAAUUUUGUUCAGAACAAAGAUGCAAAUUAAUGUCAAUUGUAUGUAUUUUACUUUGCGCAAUCUGGCGUAUAAUCAAAUGCAAUUGCACGCGCUGGUGUGCGUCGGCGAGGAGUACGGGCCCGUAGAGGCUGGGCGGGUCAGUUUGCUUGUCGGCGUCGGAGUUUGCUCGCUCCCUUCCGGAGAAUUCAGGAAGGGCAAGACCAUCUCUAUCCUCUUCGGCAUGUGUUUUUGGUUGCUUCCUUUGUACCCUUGCCGAAAUGGGUGCUUUGGUUGCUGUAGUGAUGUGUGUUGUACUCUUGUACUAGGUGUGAUUGUGUGUUUUGAAGGCUGGCUUAGAUGCAGUAGUGUAAAUUUUAGGUUAGAUUCAUGUUUGCUGCUGAAUUUGUUAAAGUCUGUCCAAUCUGGACUGCCUUUCAAUUUAAAUUUGCACCCUUCAGUGCUGCUUCUUUGUGUACUGAUUUUAAUUUAAUUGCAGUGCUCUUAAUAUAGAUUGCACCCUCUAAAAAUACUGCAAUUCUAGGGUCCAUGCAUUGCAAUUGAAUUGAAUUCAUGCUCUUUUGUUAGCUACUGAAAUUUUUGAAUAUGUCCAAACUGGACUACCUUUUUCAAUAACAAUUUGUACACACUAGUGCAUCUUUAAAUUCAACUAUAGCCUUUUCAUAAUUGGAAAAUGCACCGUCUAGUUCCUGUAGCACCUCGGUAUACCUUCUGUUUUUGUCUAUUUGUCGUUAUCUCAAUUGGUUCAUCUUGUUUCAAAGAAUGUCUCUCUUUUGAAUUUUUGGUUUCUCAUUUCCGUCACAGGUUCAAUAUUUUGAUUCUGUCUAAUUUGGUGAGCUUACCCCUGAAAAUCCUGUCAAAGGGUCUUGCAAUUUUAUAGUGACAGCUGAAAAUAUCGAUACCCACCGUGAUUUAAAUGCCCCAGCUGCCUCGGUGGCCUCUACAGGGUUCCAUACUGAAAUUAACACAUUUCUGUGCAAUCAGACGGUAGCCCAGUGCAAAAGAGUACCAGAAGCAGGCCCAGAACAAAGUCACAGGAACAGAAGUUCUAAAUUUCUGGAGGGAAAUACACAAUAGUCUUGGCUCUAUUUCUGUCCCCUAGAUGUAAGAUGCGACGCAUACAAAAAAGUGACUGCUUUUUUGUCUCAAACCAGACGACUGGAUUUUACAUAAAUAACAGGCGACCGAUUUAAAGCCCAAAA